GACCAGCUGAAACACGCUCGUGUAAGUCAAAAGUCAGCCUGAAAAGCGGAAGGUCGGCGGUUCGAUCCCGCCCCUGGCCACCA
rnacentral:tRNA from 1 species